rnacentral:rRNA from 1 species
CCUACGGGAGGCAGCAGUGAGGAAUAUUGGUCAAUGGGCGCGAGCCUGAACCAGCCAAGUCGCGUGAGGGAAGACGGUCCUAUGGAUUGUAAACCUCUUUUGUCGGGGAGCAAAAGACGCCACGCGUGGCGUUCCGAGAGUACCCGAAGAAAAAGCAUCGGCUAACUCCGUGCCAGCAGCCGCGGUAAUACGGAGGAUGCGAGCGUUAUCCGGAUUUAUUGGGUUUAAAGGGUGCGCAGGCGGAAGAUUAAGUCAGCGGUAAAAUUGAGGGGCUCAACCUCUUCGAGCCGUUGAAACUGGGUGUCUUGAGUGAGUGAGAAGUAUGCGGAAUGCGUGGUGUAGCGGUGAAAUGCAUAGAUAUCACGCAGAACUCCGAUUGCGAAGGCAGCAUACCGGCGCUCAACUGACGCUCAUGCACGAAAGUGUGGGUAUCGAACAGGAUUAGAUACCCCAGUAGUC